ensembl:ncRNA C52G5.4 ncRNA
ACUUUUUCGAAAUUCAAAAGUGGCAUUUUAAAUGGUAUGGAAUGUUAUGAUACCAAUAACAAAUAAUAUCGAAUGCUAAAAAACUUAAACACACAAGAGUGUACGAACAAAAGAGAUGAGAAUUUCAAAAUACCUUAGCUUUGCUGUAAG